rnacentral:rRNA from 1 species
UACGUAGGGGGCUAGCGUUAUCCGGAUUUACUGGGCGUAAAGGGAGCGUAGGCGGACUUUUAAGUGAGAUGUGAAAUACCCGGGCUCAACUUGGGUGCUGCAUUUCAAACUGGAAGUCUAGAGUGCAGGAGAGGAGAAUGGAAUUCCUAGUGUAGCGGUGAAAUGCGUAGAGAUUAGGAAGAACACCAGUGGCGAAGGCGAUUCUCUGGACUGUAACUGACGCUGAGGCUCGAAAGCGUGGGGAGCAAACAGGAUUAGAUACCCGGGUAGUCCCUGA